rnacentral:lncRNA from 10 species
ACCACACAGAGGGCGUCUAGAUCUCUUCUGGCUUGUAAAGACAAGAUUAUUCUAAAACGUAUAUGGAAAAGCAAAGUAACAAGGAUAGCUAAAACAGCGCUGAAAUACGAUGACUAGAAGGAACUGCAUGCCUGAUUUCGGGACAUCGGACAGCUGUGGUGCAGCACGGGCAGUGGGAGACACACAGAGGAACAGAGAACAGUGAACCCAGGAGGUGCCCCAUGUUAGCAAUGUGAUUUUUUCAAAAUUUUAUUUUAGGUUUAGGGGUGCCUGUGCAGGUUUGUUAUACAGGUAAACUUGUGUCAUGGGGGUUUGUUGUAUAGAUUAUUUAAUCACCCAGGUACUGAGCCUAGUACCCAGUAGUUAUUUUUCACCUUCUCUCCCUCCUCCCACCCUCCACCCUCCUUUUCCUCCUCCCUCCUCCCACCUCCACCCUCAAAUUCACUCCUGUGUCUGUUGUUCCCUUCUUUGUGCUCAUGAGUUCUCAUCAUUCAGCUCCCACUUAUAGUGAGAACAUGUGGUAUUUGGUUUUCUGUUCCUGCCUUACUUUGCUAAGGAUAAUGGCCUCCAGCUCCAUCCAUGUUCCCAGAAGACAUGAUCUCACUCUUUUUAAUGGCUGCAUAGUAUUCCAUGGUGUAUAUGUACCACAUUUUCUUCAUCCAAUCUGCCAUUGGUGGCAUUUCAGCUGGUGUCAUGUCUUUGCGACUGUGAACAGUGCUGGGCUGGUGUCAUGUCUUUGCUAUUGUGAACAGUGAUGGGCUGGUGUCAUGUCUUUGUGACUGUGAACAGUGCUAGGCUGGUGUCAUGUCUUUGCUAUUGUGAACAGUGCUGGGCUGGUGUCACGUCUUUGUGACUGUGAACAGUGCUGGGCUGGUGUCAUGUCUUUGCUAUUGUGAACAGUGCUGGGCUGGUGUCAUGUCUUUGUGACUGUGAACAGGGCUGCAGUGCACAUUUGCAUGCAUGCAUCUUUAUGGUGGAAAGAUUUAUAUUCCUCUGAGCGUAAACCCAGUAAUGGAGCAAUCUGAUUUCUGACAAAGUUUGUAAAGGCAAUUCCAUGGGGACAGAAAUCUUUUCAACAAAUGCUGCUGGAACAACGGGAUGUCCACAGGAAAACAAUAAACCUCGAACCAAAGAAGAUUUACAGAUGGCAAAUAAGCAUGGGGCCAGACGCGCGACAUCCUUUGACGUGAGGGAGCGCCCAUGAAAAUAGCAGUGAGGCACCGCACACCUGUCACGAUAGCCCAAAUCCAGAGACCGACAUCACCAAAUGCGGGUGAGGAUGUGGAGCAACAGGAAUGCACUCAUCGCUGUGGGAAGUGACUGCAAAAUGGCACAGUCACUUGGAAGUCAGCUGGUGGUUUCUUACCAAAGUUGGCAAAAUCCUGCCACAGGAUUCAGCAAAUGUGCCCCUUGGUAUUCACCCACAUGAACUCAAAAUUUAGGUUCACAUGAAACCUGCACACAGAUAUUUCGAGCAGUUUUAUUCAUAACUGCCACAGAUUGGAAGCAACCAAGAUGCCCUUCAGUAGGGGACUGGAUAACUGUAGUCCAUCCAGACAGCACAAGAAAGGCUCUGUCAUGCCGUGAAAAGACGUGAGCAAGUUUAACAG